GUGAGGAGAGAUGAUGGUUCCAGCUC
rnacentral:piRNA from 1 species